CUGAUGAUGGGUGCUGAUGUUGGGUGCUGAUGUUGGGUGCUGAUGUUGGGUGCUGAUGUUGAGGUGCUGAUGUUGGGUGCUGAUGUUGGGUGCUGAUGUUGAGGUGCUGAUGUUGAGGUGCUGAUGUUGGGUGCUGAUGUUGAGGUGCUGAUGUUGGGUGCUGAUGUUGGGUGCUGAUGUUGGGUGCUGAUGUUGGGUGCUGAUGUUGGGUGCUGAUGUUGGGUGCUGAUGUUGGGUGCUGAUGUUGGGUGCUGAUGUUGGGUGCUGAUGUUGAGGUGCUGAUGUUGGGUGCUGAUGAUGGGUGCUGAUGUUGGGGUGCUGAUGUUGGGGUGCUGAUGUUGGGUGCUGAUGUUGGGGUGCUGAUGUUGGGGUGCUGAUGUUGGGGUGCUGAUGUUGGGGUGCUGAUGUUGGGUGCUGAUGUUGGGUGCUGAUGUUGUUUGCAGAUGUUGGGUGCUGAUGUUGGGGUGCUGAUGUUGGGUGCUGAUGUUGGGUGCUGAUGUUGGGGUGCUGAUGUUGGGUGCUGAUGUUGGGUGCUGAUGUUGAGGUGCUGAUGUUGGGUGCUGAUGAUGGGUGCUGAUGUUGGGGUGCUGAUGUUGGGGUGCUGAUGUUGGGUGCUGAUGUUGGGGUGCUGAUGUUGGGUGCUGAUGUUGGGUGCUGAUGUUGGGGUGCUGAUGUUGGGGUGCUGAUGUUGGGUGCUGAUGUUGGGGUGCUGAUGUUGGAUGCUGAUGAUGGGUCCUGAUGUUUGGUGCUGAUGUUGGGUGCUGAUGUUGGGUGCUGAUGUUGGGUGCUGAUGUUGGAGUGCUGAUGUUGGGUGCUGAUGUUGGGUGCUGAUGUUGGGUGCUGAUGUUGGGGUGCUGAUGUUGGGGUGCUGAUGUUGGGUGCUGAUGUUGGGGUGCUGAUGUUGGGUGCUGAUGUUGGGGUGCUGAUGUUGGGGUGCUGAUGUUGGAGUGCUGAUGUUGGGUGCUGAUGUUGGGUGCUGAUGUUGGAGUGCUGAUGUUGGGUGCUGAUGUUGGAGUGCUCAUGUUGGGUGCUGAUGUUGGGUGCUGAUGUUGGGUGCUGAUGUUGGAGUGCUGAUGUUGGGUGCUGAUGUUGGGUGCUGAUGUUGGGUGCUGAUGUUGGGGUGCUGAUGAUGGGUGCUGAUGUUGGGUGCUGAU